UCGAAACAAAGUAGAAACACCGGAAGGUGUUUCUACG
rnacentral:rRNA from 1 species